rnacentral:rRNA from 1 species
CACUAUCGUUAACUGAAUACAUAGGUUAACGAGGCGAACCGGGGGAACUGAAACAUCUAAGUACCCCGAGGAAAAGAAAUCAACCGAGAUUCCCCCAGUAGCGGCGAGCGAACGGGGAGCAGCCCAGAGUCUGAAUCAGCUUGUGUGUUAGUGGAACGGUCUGGAAAGUCCGACGGUACAGGGUGAUAGUCCCGUACACCAAAAUGCACAGGCUGUGAACUCGAAGAGUAGGGCGGGACACGUGGUAUCCUGUCUGAAUAUGGGGGGACCAUCCUCCAAGGCUAAAUACUCCUGACUGACCGAUAGUGAACCAGUACCGUGAGGGAAAGGCGAAAAGAACCCCGGCGAGGGGAGUGAAAAAGAACCUGAAACCGUGUACGUACAAGCAGUGGGAGCACCUUCGGGUGUGACUGCGUACCUUUUGUAUAAUGGGUCAGCGACUUAUAUUCUGUAGCAAGGUUAACCGUAUAGGGGAGCCGCAGGGAAACCGAGUCUUAACUGGGCGUUAAGUUGCAGGGUAUAGACCCGAAACCCGGUGAUCUAGCCAUGGGCAGGUUGAAGGUUGGGUAACACUAACUGGAGGACCGAACCGACUAAUGUUGAAAAAUUAGCGGAUGACUUGUGGCUGGGGGUGAAAGGCCAAUCAAACCGGGAGAUAGCUGGUUCUCCCCGAAAGCUAUUUAGGUAGCGCCUCGUGAACUCAUCUUCGGGGGUAGAGCACUGUUUCGGCUAGGGGGUCAUCCCGACUUACCAACCCGAUGCAAACUACGAAUACCGAAGAAUGUUAUCACGGGAGACACACGGCGGGUGCUAACGUCCGUCGUGAAGAGGGAAACAACCCAGACCGCCAGCUAAGGUCCCAAAGUCAUGGUUAAGUGGGAAACGAUGUGGGAAGGCACAGACAGCCAGGAUGUUGGCUUAGAAGCAGCCAUCAUUUAAAGAAAGCGUAAUAGCUCACUGGUCGAGUCGGCCUGCGCGGAAGAUGUAACGGGGCUAAACCAUGCACCGAAGCUGCGGCAGCGACACUAUGUGUUGUUGGGUAGGGGAGCGUUCUGUAAGCCUGCGAAGGUGUGCUGUGAGGCAUGCUGGAGGUAUCAGAAGUGCGAAUGCUGACAUAAGUAACGAUAAAGCGGGUGAAAAGCCCGCUCGCCGGAAGACCAAGGGUUCCUGUCCAACGUUAAUCGGGGCAGGGUGAGUCGACCCCUAAGGCGAGGCCGAAAGGCGUAGUCGAUGGGAAACAGGUUAAUAUUCCUGUACUUGGUGUUACUGCGAAGGGGGGACGGAGAAGGCUAUGUUAGCCGGGCGACGGUUGUCCCGGUUUAAGCAUGUAGGCUGGUUAUCCAGGCAAAUCCGGAUAAUCAAGGCUGAGGUGUGAUGACGAGGCACUACGGUGCUGAAGUAACAAAUGCCCUGCUUCCAGGAAAAGCCUCUAAGCAUCAGGUAACAUCAAAUCGUACCCCAAACCGACACAGGUGGUCAGGUAGAGAAUACCAAGGCGCUUGAGAGAACUCGGGUGAAGGAACUAGGCAAAAUGGUGCCGUAACUUCGGGAGAAGGCACGCUGGUGUGUAGGUGAAGUCCCUGCGGAUGGAGCUGAGACCAGUCGAAGAUACCAGCUGGCUGCAACUGUUUAUUAAAAACACAGCACUGUGCAAACACGAAAGUGGACGUAUACGGUGUGACGCCUGCCCGGUGCCGGAAGGUUAAUUGAUGGGGUUAUCCGUAAGGAGAAGCUCUUGAUCGAAGCCCCGGUAAACGGCGGCCGUAACUAUAACGGUCCUAAGGUAGCGAAAUUCCUUGUCGGGUAAGUUCCGACCUGCACGAAUGGCGUAAUGAUGGCCAGGCUGUCUCCACCCGAGACUCAGUGAAAUUGAACUCGCUGUGAAGAUGCAGUGUACCCGCGGCAAGACGGAAAGACCCCGUGAACCUUUACUAUAGCUUGACACUGAACAUUGAGCCUUGAUGUGUAGGAUAGGUGGGAGGCUUUGAAGCGUGGACGCCAGUCUGCGUGGAGCCAACCUUGAAAUACCACCCUUUAAUGUUUGAUGUUCUAACGUUGGCCCCUGACCGGGGUUGCGGACAGUGUCUGGUGGGUAGUUUGACUGGGGCGGUCUCCUCCCAAAGCGUAACGGAGGAGCACGAAGGUUAGCUAAUCCUGGUCGGACAUCAGGAGGUUAGUGCAAUGGCAUAAGCUAGCUUGACUGCGAGCGUGACGGCGCGAGCAGGUGCGAAAGCAGGUCAUAGUGAUCCGGUGGUUCUGAAUGGAAGGGCCAUCGCUCAACGGAUAAAAGGUACUCCGGGGAUAACAGGCUGAUACCGCCCAAGAGUUCAUAUCGACGGCGGUGUUUGGCACCUCGAUGUCGGCUCAUCACAUCCUGGGGCUGAAGUAGGUCCCAAGGGUAUGGCUGUUCGCCAUUUAAAGUGGUACGCGAGCUGGGUUUAGAACGUCGUGAGACAGUUCGGUCCCUAUCUGCCGUGGGCGCUGGAGAAUUGAGGGGGGCUGCUCCUAGUACGAGAGGACCGGAGUGGACGCAUCACUGGUGUUCGGGUUGUCAUGCCAAUGGCACUGCCCGGUAGCUAAAUGCGGAAGAGAUAAGUGCUGAAAGCAUCUAAGCACGAAACUUGCCCCGAGAUGAGUUCUCCCUGAGACUUUAAGUCUCCUGAAGGAACGUUGAAGACGACGACGUUGAUGGCCGGGUGUGUAAGCGCAGCGAUGCGUUGAGCUAACCGGUACUAAUGAACCGUGAGGCUUAACCUU